rnacentral:lncRNA from 1 species
UACUCAAUUCUUAUCUUGAAUUAAUUUAUUCUAGAUCAACAACUAAAGACCAAGAUUCGAUUCAAUCAAUAAUGUUAGGCAGACAGGGGCAAAGGACAGGGUAUUGACAAGGACUUAAAAAUUUUUGACGUGGCUACAUUGUUUGAAACCGCCAAAAAAUAAAAAUAAAAAAAAUUAUUGAAAGUUAACACGUGAAGCCAAAGGGAGAAAGCACCCAUUUACACUCAAUAAGGAGAAAAUCCUCCCAUCCAAGCUCGGCUAUCGCCUCAGUCGGAGGGCAGCACUUCCAACAUCGAUCGUCAACAUUUUCAGCCACACUUCGAUCGCACCCAUUUGCCCCAAAUUACGCACUUUCCAUCUCCACCAUUUGGACACUUAGACGGGAAAGCACGGCAAAGGAAAAUCAAACAAAAGGUGCAAAUUUCUUCUGUCGUUCAACAACAGCAACUUCUUAGGUACAGUAUUCAUCACAUAUGCAAAGAUUUACAGGUCCACAAACACAAAUUAUUGUUUGAACAACUGAAUCUCCAUAGUGAAAGUGUAUAGUUCACAAACCUAGAGCAUGCAGUUCCUACAGUGUGUGUAAAAAGCCAUUACCAAUAUUCUUGAUGUCCGUAAAAUAACCCAAAAAUCUCAAUUUAUGUGUAUUUUUGCCGAUGUGUUACUAGCUUAACUUAGAUUUAUUGUAUCUUAAUAUGGGUUUUUCUCAAGGCCCAGUUCGUAAAAAUGCAGAAAAAGGCAGAGGGAUUGGGACGAUUCGACUAGCUCAGUCUUUGCGUGAUUUUGCAUCCUUUGGUGAUGUGGGUGAGAUUCAAGGAUUUGAUUUCGCAGAAUGGUUGAAGAAUACAGUGUCAGAGAGUGACUAUGUGGUAAUGAAGAUG